rnacentral:rRNA from 1 species
UACGUAGGUGGCAAGCGUUGUCCGGAUUUACUGGGCGUAAAGAGCGCGCAGGCGGUCGUUCAAGUCGCGUGUGAAAGCCCCCGGCUCAACUGGGAGGGUCACGCGAUACUGAUCGACUCGAAGGCAGGAGAGGGUAGUGGAAUUCCCGGUGUAGUGGUGAAAUGCGUAGAUAUCGGGAGGAACACCAGUGGCGAAGGCGACUACCUGGCCUGUUUCUUGACGCUGAGGUGCGAAAGCGUGGGGAGCAAACAGG